UUCAUUUCUUUUCAGAGUGAAGUCUUAAAAACGUUUUUUGCACCAUUGGCCAGGCACGGUGGCUCACACCUGUAAUCCCAGGACUUUGGGAGGCCGAGGCAGGCGGAUCACAAGGUCAGGAGAUCAAGACCAUCCUGGCUAACACGGUGAAACCUCGUCUCUACUAAAAAUACAAAAAAUUAGCCGGGCGUGGUGGCGGGCGCCUGUAGUCCCAGCUACUCGCGAGGCUGAGGCAGGAGAAUGGUGUGAGCCCGGGAGGCGGAGAUUGCAGUGAGCCAAGAUUGCGCCACUGCACUCCAGCCUGGGCGACAGAGUGAGACUCAGUCUCAAAAAAAAAAAAAAAAAAAAAAUUUUCCCACUAUUAACCAUAAAACUUUGAUUUAUUAAGUGGACUCAUUUUAAGUGGCCUUUCUCAGAUAACAAUUUCCUUCGGAUAACCCAGAUGUCCUUCCUGUAACUACCUUUAUAAACUGUGUUUAAGAUCAUAGGUGAAAAUCGAGAGGGUGGCCCACAGCAGACACGUGGCCAAAUAAAAUCUCAGUCUCCAAAGUUCAGGCUCCUACUUAUAAAUAAAGCCCAGUUCCAUUCUAAACCUGGGAAGAAAGAGCCAACACCCUCACCUAAGCCAGGUGACUGUAUCUGUCUAGGAUCAAAAACAUAACCAAUGUUAUCCAUCUUUCUUCUCCGGAAACUAUUUCCAAGAAGAACAGAAAAUUCAGUAAGCACCACAAAAACGUUCUGGUUCUUGUUUAAAGAGGUUUGAUGUCGCAUUUGCUUUGAAUGUUGAUGUGUUAAUCCACGGAGUUCCUCUAAGGUUUAAAGUCACUGGUUCUAGAGGCUACUUUGUACUAGGAAUAAAAGGCCUUUUAAGGAAAACAUUUGGGUGUAAACAGAGAUGGCGUCUCCCAGCUGCCAAAAUCAACAGCAAAGCUGGUUUCUGAGGCCGGACUGGAGAGGCAGGUUGAGAAGGGCGGAUCUGCGCCUCUGUGGUGGGAGGGGCUCCCCUCAGUGGCCCGGUGGUGGAGAUGCUUCCGAGACGAAAGCACAGAAAGCAAAUGCAGAACUUCCCUGCCUCUCCGUCCUUCCCUCAUUUUGAACAGAGACAGCAGCUACCUGUGACUGCCCUGGGGUGAAUGUGCAGCAUCUGGGGUAAAUUUCUUCCCACGCCUGCCCGCAGCAGUCGAGACAGAAGCUGGCACAGGGCUGCCCUUCUUGUGAGCCAGGCAGCAAAAACCAGGCGCUGAGGCUCAGAACUGCUGACUCAAGCCUCCAUGAAGGAACAGAAAUCCAGAAAGCCGGGCCAGAAAUAGCAUCCGUGAGCAUCUAUUGAUAGCAUAAAGUCCGUGGGCAGAGUAAGUGAAUGAGCGUGUCAGCGUGGGUGGGUGCGCGCCUGCAUGCGUGUUUGCAAGUCCUAAAAAUAUUUCCCUCUUUCCAUAACCAGCCGAGAGGCCCUGUCUGUAUAAUUCCCUCUACACCCUGCCUAACUGUGGCCAGCUGCAAUUAAUAUACAAUUGUGUCUGAGGAUAAGAGAUUAGUUUUCCUAAAUUCUCAGAUCUUCAGCAGUUGAUGUGUACAUGGGAAGAAAAUCUUCCCGUGACAACAGACUGACCAAAUUCCUGCUUCAUCUUUGCUGAGCUUAAGGAAUCGUUGUGAGAGAGAGCUGGACACAGGCAUGACAAGGUUUCCUAACAGCCUGCAGAGGCUAUUAGGCAUCAGUUUGGCAAAAACUAAAUGCAUGGCAUAUUUACAUAUUUUUCUGCGUAUCUUUAAACUAUUACUCCAGGAAGACAUGAAGGAUUGCUACUUUGCAUAAGCAUUUCCCCUGUGCAGUGACUGCCUGCCUCGGAAUCUACCUGUGCCUACGAUCUUAAGACCAGUUUAUACACACACCCAUGCCCCAGUAUGGGACGGCUCCUUUGUCCGAGCAGCAGCAAGUUUGGCUCCAAGAGGGAGCCUGGCCCGGCAUCAGGCCCUUGGAAGCCCUCAAUAACUAUGAGCAUAUGAAUGGAGAAAUGGGUAGACAGAGCUGUACUUGCGGACACAGACGAGAAAGGCAGACAUCCAAACUGUUUCCAGCUGAGGCCAGGGCUGAAGGCAACUCAAGGAGGUCCUCCCUAGGACGAGCCCUUCCAGGGCUGCAAAGAGACCCCAGGUACCACAUGCAGAGCCCAGAGCCGGUCCCCAGUCUCCCUGACCUCAACAAUCUCCCUAGUGGCAGAUCUUGUUUAUUUUUGUGAUUGGGGGCCCGGAGGGAGGAAGACAGGUUGGUUGCUCAGCAGUAAGGUUUGAAUUAAACUCUCUUCCUCAGACACCUAAGUCAAAAAGAUGAAUAGAAAGCAAGGGACAUUUUUCACUCACUGGCAUCCUUAAGCUGACCCUGAGAAGUUAUUAGUCCUCUGUGCUUCCGUUUUCUCAUCUGUGCAAUGAAAAUAAUAACAGUUCCUCUUCCAUAACAUCGAGGGUGCAAGGUUUAAAUGAGAUAAUAUGUGAAAAAGCCCGAGGCACUGCAGUGCAAGGCAUACAGCAAGUGCUCAAUACAUGUUUAGCUGUGGCUGCUGCUGUGGCUGUUUUGUGAAAAAACAAGAAAUCACUUUGGCCUGAGGAGGACUUGGUGUCCCUGCUUCACUGCCUCUCACAACACCUCUGGGACUCGAAACCCGAGGUCUGCAAUCAGGCAGCAGAGUUAGAAGCUGGAAGGCUUCCUGGAGGAGUCCACAGAUAUGAGAUGACCCAACCCAAAUGGUUCCCACCACAGCUUUGGCCUCAGAGCUUGGGGCCUCGGCCAGUGUUCUGACUUUGCUGGGCUUCAGUUGUCCCAUCUAUAAAAUGGGCACAACAAAAAUAUCUCCCUGACAGGACUGUUAUGCACAUUAAGUGAGAUGAAAUACAUAUCGGGCCAGGCGCUAUGGCUUAUGCCUAUAAUCCCAGCACUUUGGGAGGCGAGAGGAUCACCUGAUGUCAGGAGUUUGAGACCAGCCAGGCCAACAUGGUGAAACUCUGUCUUUACUAAAAAUACAAAACUUAGCCGGGCGUGGUGACCUAUGCCUGUAAUCCCAUCUACUCAAGAUGCUGAGGCAGGACAAUUGCCUGAACCUGGGAGGCGGAGGCUGCAGUGAGCCGAGAUCACACCACUGCACUGCAGCCUGGGAGACAGAGCAAGUGAGACUCCGUCUCAAAAAAAAAAGAAAGAAAGAAAUAUAUAUCAAAAGCAUUGCUCUCAGUGCCUGGUACAUAGAAAGUACUCAGUAAAGGCCAGAUGUUAUCACAAGAGGAAGAAAACUAGAGCCACUCUGUGAUGCUCCAGGGAGAACCUGAAACCUAAUCCCAGUCAGAGCCUAUUAUGUUGCUCUCCACCCUUUUCUCCACAAGGUCCCAGUUCCCACCCUGAGUCCUGCCAAACAGUGCUGCAACAGUCAGCGUUCUGGCCACAGAGAGUGAGGAUGCAGGAUGGCUCGGCCCAUUUCCCCAACUACGUCAGUCUGGACAGAUGUCUCAGGCUGUGUUGGCAGAGGCACUGCUGGUACCACGUGCCAACCUCGGGACAAGCUGCCUCCUCUUGGAAAUGAAGCAGGGACGAUGCACCAGGGAAUCAUGUCAUCAAGUCAGCCGUGUCAACACGCGUUUAUGGAAUGGAAUGGAAUAGAGUAUCACUGCAGCCCACCAAAACCCACAGGCCCAGUCCAAUCAUGAGAAAAGCAUCAGACAAAUUCCAAUAGUGGGGCAUCCUACUAAAUACCCAACCAGAACUCCUUAGAACUGUCAAGGUCAUCAGAAACAAGACAAGUCUAAGAAGAAACAGCCACAGCCAAGAGGCACCUACAGAAACAAAAUGGAAAUGUGGUUUCCUGGAUGGGAUCCUGGAACAGAAAAAGGACAUUAGGGAAAAACUAAGAAAACGUGAAUCAACUAUUGUAUUAGUUCAUUUUCUGUUGCUUAUAGCAGAAUACCUGAAACUAGAUAACUUAUAAAGAAAAGUAGUUGUUUUCUUACAGUUAUGGAGUCUGAGAAGUCAAAGGUCAAGGGGCAGCAUCUGGUGAGGGCCUUCUUGCUGGUGGGGACUCUGCAGAGUACAGAGGUGGUUCAGGGUAUCCUAUAACGAGGGGGCUGAGUAAGCUAGCUCGGGUCUUUCUUCCUCUUCUUAUAAAGCCACCAGUCCCACUCCCAUGAUAUCCCAGCAAUCCAUUAAUUCAUGAAUGGAUUAACCCAUUCAUGAGUGCAGAGCCACAUAACCCAAUCACCUCUUAAAGGCCUCACCUCUCAAUACUGCCAGAUUGGGGGUUAAGUUUCAGCAUGAAUUUUGGAGGCAACAAAUACUCAAACCACAGCAACUAUAGACUUUAGUUAUUAUAAUAAAGAUGUAUCAAUAUA